rnacentral:rRNA from 1 species
AGGCCACUGCUAUCGGAGUUCGAUUAAGCCAUGCGAGUCGAGAGGUGUAAGACCUCGGCAUACUGCUCAGUAACACGUGGACAACCUACCCUGAAGGGGGGGAUAACCCCGGGAAACUGGGGAUAAUACCCCAUAGAUUAUGGAUGCUGGAAUGCUCUGUAGUUGAAAGGUCCGCUGCUUCAGGAUGGGUCUGCGGCCGAUUAGGUUGUUGUUGGGGUAACGGCCCAACAAGCCUGUAAUCGGUACGGGUUGUGGGAGCAAGAGCCCGGAGAUGGAUUCUGAGACACGAAUCCAGGCCCUACGGGGCGCAGCAGGCGCGAAAACUUUACAAUGCGAGCAAUCGUGAUAAGGGAACUCCGAGUGCCUGUAAAAUCAGGCUGUCCGCCAGUGUAAAUAACUGGUGAAGAAAGGGCCGGGCAAGACCGGUGCCAGCCGCCGCGGUAAUACCGGCGGCUCGAGUGGUGGCCACUAUUACUGGGCUUAAAGCGUUCGUAGCUGGUCUGUUAAGUCUCUGGGGAAAUCUUCCGGCUUAACCGGAAGGCGUCUCAGGGAUACUGGCAGACUAGGGACCGGAAGAGGUGAGAGGUACUCCAGGGGUAGGAGUGAAAUCCUGUAAUCCUUGGGGGGACCACCUGUGGCGAAGGCGUCUCACCAGGACGGCUCCGACAGUGAGGAACGAAAGCUGGGGGAGCAAACCGGAUUAGAUACCCGGGUAGUCCCAGCUGUAAACGAUGCGCGUUAGGUGUAUCGGUGACCACGAGUCACCGAGGUGCCGAAGAGAAAUCGUGAAACGUGCCGCCUGGGAAGUACCGGUCGCAAGGCUGAAACUUAA